rnacentral:lncRNA from 1 species
UGGUUUAUUUUAAUUGACUGUUUAUUGACUAUAUCUGUACAUGAAAAUUUGUCACUAUUGUUACACCUUUGACGAAUUUGUUUUAGGCAUCCUAUCGUUGUUUCCAUGAUAUUUUGACUCAUCUGUUUGUGUCCUAUUUUUUCUCUCCAUCGCGAAUCAAACUUCUGAUUAUUUGGGACUACUAUAAUCAUGUUCCUAAAAAUUUUGUCGAAACAG